rnacentral:misc_RNA from 1 species
GUAUGAUAAAUGGAAUUCUGAUGCUGACCCAAGUUCAGAGAGAGGUAAAAGGCAAUACAGAGAGAAACCUGCGCAAUCAAAGUACAGGUCCAAGAUCGUUUCUUCUCCAUUUUCACACAGGUAGCUGCAACCCGACUUUUUCCAAUUGGCUACAGAGAUCUAAAUCUAGGACCGGCUACAUUACGUUAGCGUGCUGUAUGGCUA